ACAAAACCGGCCCUCUGUGGAAUGAGUUUGACACCCCUGCCCGGGACGUCACUAGGGCUAUUCAUUAGACCCCCCCUAAAUAAAUCACUAUAUCAGUCAAUAUAUUUUCUCUGUGAUGUAUUUUUUUCCCAUCAAACGUUCCAUCGCAUCUUAAACUUAUUACGGGCGGGCACUAGGACCUGGGGGGGGCUGCUGCUGCAGAGGCUGUUGCACGCGCUAAUGACAGUUAGGUCUACUUGUAGCUAACGUUAGCUACUGCUGUGGCUUGAGACUGCUAGCUAACAGUAAACUGACAGGAAAAGGCUCUGAUAGGACGGAUUCAUGCAGAUAGGCUACGAUGUGAAUUUGUGGCUAGCUAAUGACUAACGUUAGAUGGAUAUACGGAAAUUCUUCAAGAGAGGCAGUGCCAGCAGCUCUGCCGAAGGCCAAUCCGCAGACAAGAAUGAGGGAAAGAAGCUGGAAAGGGCUGAGGGAGCAUGUCUGAUGAAGGUUAGUGAUUAAAAAAAGCGAGUAGAUGUUUAAGCUUUCAGUUAAAUUUGUACAGCAUGUCUUACUUUUGUUAGGCAUAAAUAAUGUUCAUGAUAUCUUAAAGGGUCAUGCAGAAAGAGAGGCUUCUAUGCAAGGCAGAGAUCAACAUGCGAGCUGUAUAAGUGAGAGAGAGCAAGCAUGCCCAGAGAAAGAGGGACAAGAAACAGAUCCAGAGAGGGAGGGACAACAAACAGAUCCAGAGAGAGAGGGACAACAAACAGAUCCAGACGUGGGAGGGACAACAAACAGAUCCAGAGCGAGAGGAACAGCGAAACAGAUACAGAGCGAGAGGAACAGCGAACAGAUCCAGAGCGAGAGGGACAAGAAACAGAUCCAGAGAGAGAGGGACA